rnacentral:rRNA from 1 species
UACGGAGGAUGCAAGCGUUAUCCGGAAUGAUUGGGCGUAAAGCGUCCGCAGGUGGCAAUGUAAGUCUGCUGUCAAAGCGUCUGGCUCAACCAGAUAAAGGCAGUGGAAACUACAUAGCUAGAGUAAGGUAGGGGUAGAGGGAAUUCCUGGUGUAGCGGUGAAAUGCGUAGAGAUCAGGAAGAACACCGGUGGCGAAAGCGCUCUGCUGGACCUAAACUGACACUGAGAGACGAAAGCUAGGGGAGCAAAUGGG